ACUCCAGCUCCGCAGGUGUAUAUCUAUGCUGCUGCGGUUAAAAAGCUCGUAGUUGGAUCUGCGUGCUCGGAACUGGUUGGCUCACUGAGUUCAAACUGGUCUCCGGCGCUUUAUUGGCUGGUUUUCCCUUGAUGCUCUUAACCGGGUGUCUUGGGCGGCUAGCACGUUUACUUUGAAAAAAUUAGAGUGCUCAAUACAGGCAUAAAGCCUUGAAUAGUGGUGCAUGGAAUAAUAGAAUAGGACCUCGGCUCUAUUUUGUUGGUUUUCGGAACGCGAGGUAAUGAUUAAGAGGGACAGACGGGGGCAUUCGUAUUGCGACGUUAGAGGUGAAAUUCUUGGAUCGUCGCAAGACGGACGACUGCGAAAGCAUUUGCCAAGAAUGUUUUCAUUAAUCAAGAACGAAAGUUAGAGGUUCGAAGGCGAUCAGAUACCGCCCUAGUUCUAACCGUAAACGAUGCCAACUAGCGAUUCGCAGGCGUUAAACAACGACCUUGCGGGCAGCUUCCCGGAAACGAAAGUGUUCGGGUUCCGGGGGAAGUAUGGUUGCAAAGCUGAAACUUAAAGGAAUUGACGGAAGGGCACCACCAGGAGUGGAGCCUGCGGCUUAAUUUGACCCAACACGGGAAAACUCACCCGGCCCGGACACCGUAAGGAUUGACAGAUUGAGAGCUCUUUCUUGAUUCGGUGGGUGGUGGUGCAUGGCCGUUCUUAGUUGGUGGAGCGAUUUGUCUGGUUUAUUCCGAUAACGAACGAGACUCUGGCCUACUAAAUAGUGGGCGGAUUCUUUCUGUCCGCAACACUUCUUAGAGGGACAAGCGGUGUUCAGCCGCACGAGAUUGAGCAAUAACAGGUCUGUGAUGCCCUUAGAUGUCCGGGGCUGCACGCGCGCUACACUGAAGGAAUCAGCGUGCUUUCUGACCUUGCCCGAAAGGGCUGGGUAACCCGAUGAAAAUCCUUCGUGAUUGGGAUAGGGACUUGCAAUUAUUUCCCUUGAACGAGGAAUUCCCAGUAAGUGUGGGUCAUAAGCUCGCGUUGAUUACGUCCCUGCCCUUUGUACACACCGCCCGUCGCUGCCCGGAACUGAGCCGUUUCGAGAAGAACAGGGACCGUCGUUGAAGGGCCUUAACGGGCUUUUCUCUGAUAGAAACUGUU
rnacentral:rRNA from 1 species